GACAAUCUGUAGAUGUUUCCCUUUACCACCAAGGGUCCUAAUCUUUUGGAAGACAUGGGAACAGAUGAAAGUGUUUGGUUCUGGGAAUGGAAAUUACAGAUGGAUAGAAUCCCAUUACAAUGAGCUUCGCUGGCAUUUUCUGUUGAGCAAUUAGCUUUGUCCGAGAAGAGGCUUCCUGCCAUGUCCAGAAGGAAAUGCAUAAGGCAAGCAAAUCUCUGGCCACUUGAUAAUGAGAAAAACUAGUGUUUGAGUGUGGAUAUCACCAUCAGUGUUCGACUUCAAUACUGACUAUAAUACUUGAAUGACUCAAUGCAUUGAAACUCUUUUUUGAUGAAAGUUUUAAAUGUAUAUUUCCAUUUAAUAAAUAUUUGUUUGAGAAUGUUAUGUGCCAGGCC
ensembl:lncRNA